GGGGAUUUAGCUCAGCAGCGUAAGCACCUGCCUUGCAAGCAGGUGGUCGUGAGUUCGAUUCCCAGUACCGG
rfam:Cavia porcellus supercont2_28 genomic scaffold, whole genome shotgun sequence.